AGAUGGCCCAGAGGGCCCUGACAGCCUCAGCCAUCCUGGGCUUCUGCGAUUCUGUGAUAGAAAUAAUGAUGUUUUCCAGCUCAUCCCUACCAGUGUGUCUGCAUUUAAAGAGAAAACUAAGCCUCUUUGCCUUGGGAAAUGACCACACAAAUUGCAGUCAAGAUUGUCCUAAAGUCCUGCCAGAAGCGAGCCAAAGAGAAGACUCCAAUUACCUCACCUAUGAAAAUUUCUUCUCCAGCAUAUAGUUGGAAGAUCAUGCCUGGCUGUAAAGAAAACUCUACAAAGUAUUUCUUACUGAAGAGAGAACAUCUUUUCCACUUUACCAUCGCUUUCUUUUACUUUUGUCUACUUCCAUGUUUUAUAUAAAGGUUCCUGGGAUAAAAGGCAUACAGUUUAGACUUCUUUGAAACUUCGGAUAAUGUUUAUAUCAGUCUUUAAACAUAAUGAUCUCCACUCACAAAUCCUAUAGAGGAUAUAAGCUGAAAAAUUAACCUCUCAGGCAAAAAGAGAUGUGGAAAUGCAUAGGAAAUGUUGAAUGUGUACACAGACUACUUUGUAACGCAGAUCCUAGUCAUUGCUGAUGGCUCUUAAGUCUGUUGUUUUCUUCCACUGUGUGAAAUUGGCAUUCUUAACAAUACCUUUACAAAAGGGUCCUCUCUCUGCUUGUGCCUAAUAUUGCUCAUAAAUCAAAAUACUGAAGAUGUAAUCAUUGGCUUCAUGUCACACUAAACAUUCAGAAUCAUUAUCCCAAAAUCCUUUGGGAAAGCAGACAAGAUGCUCUCAGUUCAGCUCCCUGUAGAUUGUAGGUCAGUAGCACAAAGACGGAGCAUAUAAUUGGACUCAAGUGGUAGUCUGAGCUCAAAAGAGGCCAAGGACAAAUUAGUCCAAAUCACCUCCUACUUUAAAAAGAGACAUUUCAACAUGGGCACAGUUCAGAUUUGCAGCUGCCUGACCUACAGAUAAAUAGAAGGCUUUAAUACUUCCAGAAAUGGAACAGCGAACAAUUUGGGUGUCUGAAUACGACAGGAAACAUCCGUGGUUUUGAUCCAGGGAUAUUUCUGUGAAAGUUUUGGUUGCAGGAUGAACUCUGCAUUCCUUAAUUUAUAUAUAGAAGAAUGCACAGUUCAAUAUUAAAUUCUAGAUUUGGAAAUGAAGUCUGAAAUGAAAGCAUCUUGAAAACACUAACUGUGAAAUGUUUCCAAUAAAUAUUAGAUAUUAAUAUUUAAGGUUAUAUGACAUUUUGCAGAUGAGUAAAAUAAUCAGACCUACUGUCAGCCAAUUAGCACAUUAAAAUACUUGCAAAUGCAAAAAUCACUGACCCGAUAUCAGCCUUGAUAUUGUGUAAAUGGUAUAUAUUUAAUACAUUUUGUCAAGGAAUUUUUUAAAUGACUAAGUACUCACGCUGAAUAAUGGGAGAAUAAAUCAGGAAAGGAUCAG
ensembl:lncRNA